rnacentral:misc_RNA from 1 species
CAAGAAGAGACCGCCUCCGGUCCUCUACCCUUGCCCAUCGUACCCCUUGUGUUGUUCCCUCGGCGAGGCUCGACGCCCGCCGGCGGGAAGAUCAACAAAACCCUUUUUGCAAACAAGCAUCCAAAAAUCUCUGAUGAAACUUUAAAUCGUCA